CUGUCUUGGGAGCAUAGGGUACCCAACAUGUUAUUCCACAAUUGUUGUCAUUUUUUUAUCACAAAAACAGUUCAGUUUGAUUCAAGAUCAAGCAACAGUGUAUCUUGUGGAAAUUAUUUACCUUUGUAACAUAGAUAUAAUGCCCCAGAUCAAGACACAUUUUUAUCUCAAGUCUGAGGGAGAAGGGAGUGAAGGAAGAAGCUACCACGAGUUGGUGACAAGUAAAGAUGAUGGAUUCUGGGGUUCCUAUGUGCAACACUUGUGAUUAAGCUCUAACAGUGAAGUGUUUGUGGCGUGUCAGGAAUGCAAUUAUCCCAUCUGUCAGCAUUGUUUAGACUAUGAAAUCAAGGAAGGGCGCAAUGCCUGCAUUCGUUGUGGCACUCCGUAUAAUGAUGCUUCUCUUCUUCAGUUGAUUGCUGCUUCUAACUGUACUUCAAAUGUCUUCAACCCCCGCUAAAGCUGGACCGGGGGUGAACUAUACCAGCCCAAGCUUGGCAAGAAAUAAAUGAAGUGGCCUUGUUAAAGACUUGGUGGAGAUAUCUGCCGAUUGAUCCUUAGAACGUAUGUAUGAGGGAGCUCUGAAGCUUGACUUGUAGUGAUCACGAAUGAGGUGACAGUCAAUCUCCAAAUGCUUGGUGUGCUCAUGGAAAACAGGAUUAUUAACAAUAUGCAACGCAACUUUAUUGUCACAAUAUAAUGGAAUGGGCUAAGAGCAUUAAUUCCAAGAUCUUAUAAGAGAAAUGAAAUCCACACCAGUUCACAUGUUGUAGAUCCCAUUGCUAUGUGUUCAGCCUCAGCUGUAGAAGAGAUUGUAUUUUGCAUCUUUGUCUUUCAAGAAAUCAAGGAUGUUCCCAAGAAGACAAAAUACCUUGUUAAAGAUCGUCUACUGUCCAAGCAAGAUGCCCAAUCUGAGUCACAAUACACACUCAGAUCAGGUGCUGCAUCAGAGGGGAAGAAAAUGCACUUCCUUGGUGUACUCUUCAAGUAUCUCACCACAUGUAGUGCUACAUCCCAGUGCUUUUUGCAAGGAGUUUGGAGGAAUUGACUUAACUGUUGGGUAGCAUGUGAGAUGUCUGGCCUUGUAAAUCCUAAGUACAACAACAUUCCUAUUAGUCUUCUGUAAGCAGCUGGCUGUGGCAGUGUGUGUUCUGAAGCUGUAGUGAACUUGAUUCCAACUGGAAGUAGAGUAUUUCUGGUCUUGGCUUCAGUCAUCUUUAAGUCCAGAAUUAUGUCUUGUAUGUAUUUGCUUUGAGUGAGCAUGAUACCUUCAGAAGCUCUAGCAAU